rnacentral:rRNA from 1 species
AAGGCGACGAUCAGUAGCCGACCUGAGAGGGUGAUCGGCCACAUUGGGACUGAGACACGGCCCAAACUCCUACGGGAGGCAGCAGUGGGGAAUAUUGCGCAAUGGGGGAAACCCUGAUGCAGCAACGCCGCGUGAGCGAAGAAGUAUUUCGGUAUGUAAAGCUCUAUCAGCAGGGAAGAAGAAUGACGGUACCUGACUAAGAAGCUCCGGCUAAAUAC